rnacentral:rRNA from 1 species
AUUGAACGCUGGCGGCAGGCCUAACACAUGCAAGUCGAGCGGAUGAAGGGAGCUUGCUCCUGGAUUCAGCGGCGGACGGGUGAGUAAUGCCUAGGAAUCUGCCUGGUAGUGGGGGAUAACGUCCGGAAACGGGCGCUAAUACCGCAUACGUCCUGAGGGAGAAAGUGGGGGAUCUUCGGACCUCACGCUAUCAGAUGAGCCUAGGUCGGAUUAGCUAGUUGGUGGGGUAAAGGCCUACCAAGGCGACGAUCCGUAACUGGUCUGAGAGGAUGAUCAGUCACACUGGAACUGAGACACGGUCCAGACUCCUACGAGAGGCAGCAGUGGGGAAUAUUGGACAGUGGGCGAAAGCCUGAUCCAGCCAUGCCGCGUGUGUGAAGAAGGUCUUCGGAUUGUAAAGCACUUUAAGUUGGGAGGAAGGGCAGUAAGUUAAUACCUUGCGGUUUUGACGUUACCAACAGAAUAAGCACCGGCUAACUUCGUG